rnacentral:lncRNA from 1 species
AUCUGUUUGAGAACAGAUGUACGUGACUUACAUAUUAUAAAACUAGCUUGAAUCCUUUCUUAGAUUUUUAAAAAGUAAGAUGGAGGAUAGAGAAAAGAACAAAGGAAGAAAGGAAAGAAUUGUAGAAAGGCGGUACUGUUAACUGAACACCGAGGUUUUGGUCUAGAUCUCUUUCUUUGCCACACAGAAAGCCAAUUACUGAGACAAUGAGUAUUGCCAAGGAAGAAAGGCUUUAUUUGGGUGAUGUUAGGGAGAUGGGAGAUAAGUCUCAAAUCUCUCAAAUCUAUCUCACUGAACCCCCCAAAUUCCUGACUAAAGUUACACGUUUAUAUAGCAGAGAAGGAAAACAGGAGGGGUGAGAAAAUGGAGUGCGUCAACAGGCAGCAAGUGAUUGAAUGAAUGGUCUGACAUCUCAUUGGAUGGUUGGGAUGACUGGGUAAGAUUCAGUUCCUUGCUAUUAAUACCAUCUGGGAGGCCUGAAGGAACUUAGGUAAGACAAAUGUAAGUUUUAAGCUUUAAGCCCAGGAGGGUCAAUUUCUAUGUUGAUUGAAAAAAAUCCCAUAAACAUCAGUUUUAUGGGUUAAUUGGGCCAGUUUCACUAAUGAAAAAGGUACAAUGAAAAGGCUACACAGGCUUUUGUUCUUAAGUUUUGUAGGUGUUAGGCCUCUUUAAAAUUUUUCAAGUUUCUUCUGAAGAUCAAUAAAGCAAGCUCAAAAAAGCAAGACCUUUCAUUCCAUCACUGGCAAACUUCUUUUAAUUCCAUUGAGAGCAAGAUUUUAUUACCCAUAACGUUAUCUUAAUUUCUUCAGCUAUAGUUCUUAAGUAUAAAUUGACAUUCCUGACCAGGUGCGGUGGCUCAUGCCUGUAAUCCCAGCACUUUGGGAGGCCAAGGUGGGAGGAUCACGAGGUCAGGAGAUGGAGACCAUCCUCGCUAACACGGUGAAACCCCGUCUCUACUAAAAAUACAAAAAAAUUAGCCGGGCGUGGUUGCGGGCGCCUGUAGUCCCAGCUACUUGGGAGCUUGAGGCAGGACAAUGGCGUCAACCUGGGAGGCGGAGCUUGCAGUGAGCCAGUUCAUGCCACUGCACUCCAGCCUGGGUGACAGAGCGUGACAGAGCAAGACUCCGUCUCAAAAAAAAAAAAAAAAAAAAAAAA